UACGAAGGGGGCUAGCGUUGCUCGGAAUCACUGGGCGUAAAGGGCGCGUAGGCGGCCUUCUAAGUCGAACGUGAAAUCCCUGGGCUCAACCCAGGAACUGCGUCCGAUACUGGGAGGCUUGAAUCCGGGAGAGGGAUGCGGAAUUCCAGGUGUAGCGGUGAAAUGCGUAGAUAUCUGGAGGAACACCGGUGGCGAAGGCGGCAUCCUGGACCGGCAUUGACGCUGAGGCGCGAAAGCCAGGGGAGCAAACGGG
rnacentral:rRNA from 1 species